GAUGAACGCUGGCGGCGUGCCUAAUACAUGCAAGUCGAGCGCGACUGAUUACACCGUUCUUCGGAACACCGUAAUCAUCGAGCGGCGGACGGGUGAGUAACACGUGGGCAACCUACCCUUAAGACUGGGAUAACCGCGGGAAACCGUGGCUAAUACCGGAUAAUACUUUUAUACAACGGUAUAGAAGUUGAAAGGUGGAUUUCUAUCACUUAAGGAUGGGCCUGCGGCGCAUUAGCUGGUUGGUAAGGUAACGGCUUACCAAGGCGACGAUGCGUAGCCGACCUGAGAGGGUGAUCGGCCACACUGGAACUGAGACACGGUCCAGACUCCUACGGGAGGCAGCAGUAGGGAAUCUUCCGCAAUGGGCGAAAGCCUGACGGAGCAACGCCGCGUGUGCGAAGAAGGUCUUCGGAUCGUAAAGCACUGUUGUUAAGGAAGAACGACAGUAAGAGUAACUGUUUACUGUGUGACGGUACUUAACCAGAAAGCCACGGCUAACUACGGG
rnacentral:rRNA from 1 species